rfam:Schistosoma mansoni, Puerto Rico, WGS project CABG01000000 data, contig: 0077
GUACUGAUGAGGAGUCUCAUAAUAGGACGAAACGGCCGUUUAGUGC